rnacentral:rRNA from 2 species
GGAUGCUACCUGGUUGAUCCUGCCAGUAKUCAUAUGC